UGAUGCUGCGAUGGGAUAUAAAUGAUGUCAGGUAACGCGUCAACUAGACCCUGUACGAUAAAUACAGAGAUGGUUAUGCUACAGCUGAUGGGAUUGUUUCGCUUCAAAACGUAGCCUCUGGGUUGGGUUAUGAGGAUUUGGGAGACGUCACAGGAGAAGACAUGACUCUGGAGGUUCUUAAGGAGCUAGAGAAGCUGACCAGAGCCAAGAAGAUGAUGGAAGAGGCUGCAAGACCUUUUUGACUUGCCAUAUAUUUUCCCUUUUUUGUUUGAUUAACCACUAUGCUUCCUUGCCAUCCAGUUUCCCUUCUUAAGUCAUCUGUUUCGGGCCUUUGGCAGCUUGGAUUUUCGGUGGGUCUUCGUUUCCGUCGGCAGGAAAGAAAAGUUAUUGUAUCUGAAAACAGAGAGGAAGUAAAAUUAUUUAGGCCACGUUUGGUAUUUAUCAUACCUGAAUUUUUUUUUAAAUUUUUUUGUAAUAUGCGUUAUGUUUCU